CAGCUGCCGCAGCCGGGACUCGAACCAUUUUUAAUUCUUCAUCAGCGCAAUCUUCCUAUAGAAGGAACGAAGGGACAAUGCACGGCGUGGGAGGACCAGCGGCCAUUCUCGACCGAGACUAUAGCGUCUGCAUUCACCAGUGAGGCCCGGGAAUGGAGAACCUGCCCAUUAAACCUCGGUGUCAUUAUAAAUAAAAUACAUUAUACUAUAA